rnacentral:misc_RNA from 1 species
GAUGAAGAACGUAGUGAAAUGCGAUAAGUAAUGUGAAUUGCAGAAUUCAGUGAAUCAUCGAAUCUUUGAACGCACAUUGCGCCCCUCGGUAUUCCGACGGGCAUGCCUGUCCGAGCGUCGUUUGCAACCCAUCGAGUAACACUUCUCGGUCUUGGGCGCCGUCCGCCCCCUCGGGGGAUCGGACGGGCCCCAAAGCCCGCGGCGGCCCCGCGUGCCCCGCCGGAGCGUCUUCGAAAGCAAUCGCUCCGGCGCGUCGCGCCCCGGGACCAAGCCGGCACCGCGGCCCCCCCAAAGGGGUCGCACCCCCAACACCAAACGUCUGACCUCGGAUCAGGUAGGGCUACCCGCUGAACUUAAGCAUAUCAAUAAGCGGAGGA